ACGGAGAGUUUGAUCCUGGCUCAGGAUGAACGCUAGCGGCAGGCCUAAUACAUGCAAGUCGAGGGGCAGCACGGUUUUCGGACUGGUGGCGACCGGCGCACGGGUGCGUAACGCGUAUGCAAUCUACCUUAUACUGGAGGAUAGCCCGAGGAAACUCGGAUUAAUACUCCAUAGUAUCACGAAAUGGCAUCAUUUUGUGAUUAAAGAUUUAUUGGUAUAAGAUGAGCAUGCGUCUGAUUAGUUAGUUGGUAAGGUAACGGCUUACCAAGGCAUCGAUAGGUAGGGGGCCUGAGAGGGUGGCCCCCCACACUGGUACUGAGACACGGACCAGACUCCUACGGGAGGCAGCAGUGAGGAAUAUUGGUCAAUGGAGGCAACUCUGAACCAGCCAUGCCGCGUGCAGGAAGAAUGCCCUAUGGGUUGUAAACUGCUUUUAUUUAGGAAGAAUCCCCAGUACGUGUACUGGGUUGACGGUACUAAACGAAUAAGGACCGGCUAACUCCGUGCCAGCAGCCGCGGUAAUACGGAGGGUCCAAGCGUUAUCCGGAAUCAUUGGGUUUAAAGGGUCCGCAGGCGGACUAGUAAGUCAGUGGUGAAAUCUCUCAGCUUAACUGGGAAACUGCCAUUGAUACUGUUAGUCUUGAAUUCGGUCGAAGUGGGCGGAAUGUGUCAUGUAGCGGUGAAAUGCAUAGAUAUGACACAGAACACCGAUAGCGAAGGCAGCUCACUAGGCCUGAAUUGACGCUCAGGGACGAAAGCGUGGGGAGCGAACAGGAUUAGAUACCCUGGUAGUCCACGCCGUAAACGAUCAUUACUCGAUAUCAGCGAUAUACAGUUGGUGUCUAAGCGAAAGUGAUAAGUAAUGCACCUGGGGAGUACGAUCGCAAGGUUGAAACUCAAAGGAAUUGACGGGGGCCCGCACAAGCGGUGGAGCAUGUGGUUUAAUUCGAUGCAACGCGAAGAACCUUACCUACACUUGACAUACAGAGAACUUUCUAGAGAUAGAUUGGUGCCUUCGGGAACUCUGAUACAGGUGCUGCAUGGCUGUCGUCAGCUCGUGUUGUGAGAUGU
rnacentral:rRNA from 1 species